GGCCCCAUCGUCUAGCGGUUAGGACGUCGGCCUCUCACGCCGAAAACGGGAGUUCAAUUCUCCCUGGGGUCA
rnacentral:tRNA from 1 species